GCAGGUCUGUAGGUGUCUGUCUUUCUCUCCCCCUCUCUGUCUUCCCCUCCUCUCUCCAUUUCUCUCUGUCCUAUCCAACAAUGACAACAACAACGAUGACAAGCAACAAGGGCAACAAAAGGGAAAAAAUAGCCUCCAGGAGCAAUGGAUUCGUGGUACAGGCACUGAGCCCCAGCAAUAACUGUGGAGACAAAAAAAAAAAAGUUUGGAGGCGCUAUAUUUAGAUAAAAAAAGAAAAAAAAAAAAAGAAAAGACAUUAUAUUUAAGAAAAGAAAAAGAAAAAAAGAAAAGACAUUAUAUUUAAGUUUUCAGCUAUUGAGCACCAUGAUAAAAUUAGAGAGAAGGAGCUGGCAGAGAAGUGGAGAGAUGGCAACACAGCAAAUAACAGAAAGGUUUCUGGAGUCGGUGGAAAGAAACUUCACGGGAGUCAGGCUGUAGCGCAGUGGGUUAAGCGCACGUGGCGCGAAGCCCAAGGACCAGCUUAAGGAUCCUGGUUCGAGCCCCUGGCUCCCCACCUGCAGGGGAGUCGCUUCGCAGGCGGUGAAGCAGGUCUGCGGGUGUCUGUCUUUCUCUCCCCUUCUUUGUCUUCUCCUCCUCUCUCCAUUUCUCUCUGUCCUAUCCAACAACAACGAUGACAUCAAUAAUAACUACAACAAUAAAACAACAAGGGCAACAAAAGGGAAUAAAUAAAUAUUAAAAAAAAAGAAGAAAGAAACUUCACUGACCACACGAUGAGAAUGUCAAGAAUCCUGUCUGGCUUACAUCGAACCUGACUCUGGGGCACAACUCAGAGAAGUGAAACCAAUUAGUUCCUCCUAGCCCAAGGGAAUUGAAAGAGGCUGCAGCUCCAGGCGACAAGAACAGACAGAGAGCCCUUGUGCUUAGAAACUGGAAGAAGAAAACAGUAUAAAAUCAGAUGCCUUCAACCGACCCCAGCUAGCCAAACGAACUCCACAGGACACGCUAGUAGCUGAAUGAAGGGGGGAACGUCACAGGGCAGUCAGAGAGGCUGAGUCCAGGAAGGAGGUCUCUGCAGUCGACUGUGGCACCUUUGAGUAGGUAGCCAUUAUUUGCUUGGCUGAGCUUCAUCUGUCUAUCCUGACUGAAUGGCAAGACGUGACGGUUCACCACCCUCGUUUACCCAUUUCAGUGACAGCCGCACAAAAGAAUGAGAGUCUAGCUGUGAACUUUCCUUGUACUGGUGUUGACUGUGCUGAGAGAAGCAUCCUCUAGAACGGCCCAUUUACAGCAGAAGACUCCCAGAAGUGGGACCACUGAGAGAGACAGAGGUUCCAAACCAGAAGACAAAAGGAACGUUUUGCCUGUUUAAUGGACUUCUCAGCUGCCAGGCUAGCGUGAGGGUGUCUUCUUCCCAGGCACGUGCUCUCUGGGUUGGAGAGAACUCAACCAGAGCCAGCCUGGGCUGCUGCUUACUCAGCGAUGCGGGAGAGAGACCAGCAACUCGUGGCAGAGUGGGAACCAAUGUGUCUUUAUUGAUCAGAGACAAUGCUUUUAUAGGAUAGAACCGGAAGUGGCAAGUCAGAAAAGGAAAACGGCUAGGAAAGGGGGUGGAGAAAAGGAAAAAGCAGGCUAAGGUAGAAGCUUCCUUAGCAACUGUUGCGAAGAUUUUAACAGGUGGGAUUAAUGUUACCCUGCAGGCAGGGCGGGUCUCCAGGUAGAAAGAAGAUAGAUGAAUGGAAUUGGGUGGGGAUCUUUCAGGCAAAACAAUGAUUAUUGAUUAUUGUAAAUAGGCCAUAGUAUCAGGAAUUCAGGGGAGCUGGCUGAAUGCCCGAUGCUGAGCUUGAAUUUGGUUAUCAUGAGAAGAAACUUGAAAGACCCGCUUUCUCUAAAUGUAUCAAUAGUUGGGAAAGGAUGAGGAACUUAAAAAAAAGAAAAAAAGAAAAAACACCUCCCAGAAAUCCAGGCCAGAACAGUGACAGCUAAGAAGCACCAUUAAAACCCAGGUGGAAAGAGAAUUCAGAUGCCUGACACUUGGCCUUCAAACUUCUUAAGGAGAAAAACACAUCCAAGACCAGAUGAACACAGAGGGUGAAACAGUGAAAUGUAAUCCCAAGGCCUCUCUUUUCCAAGAACUGACAUUAAAUUCUGUUUGCCUACA